rnacentral:rRNA from 1 species
GACGAACGCUGGCGGCGUGCUUAACACAUGCAAGUCGAACGGAAAGGCCCUGCUUGCAGGGUCCUCGAGUGGCGAACGGGUGAGUAACACGUGGGUGAUCUGCCCUGCACUUCGGGAUAAGCCUGGGAAACUGGGUCUAAUACCGGAUAGGAGCCAUUCUUAGUGUGAUGGUUGGAAAGUUUUUUCGGUGUAGGAUGAGCUCGCGGCCUAUCAGCUUGUUGGUGGGGUAAUGGCCUACCAAGGCGGCGACGGGUAGCCGGCCUGAGAGGGUGGACGGCCACAUUGGGACUGAGGUGCGGCCCAGACGCCUAAGGGAGGCAGAAGGGGGGAAGAUUGAUCAAUGGGCGCAAGCCUGAUGCAGCGACGCCGCGUGGGGGAUAACGGCCUUCGGGUUGUAAACUCCUUUCGCGAGGGACGAAGCUUUUUGUGACGGUACCUAGAGAAGAAGCACCGGCUAACUACGUG